rnacentral:rRNA from 1 species
AACGAACGCUGGCGGCAGGCUUAACACGCAAGUCGAACGGACGUAGCAAUACGUUAGUGGCAGACGGGUGAGUAACGCGUGGGAAUAUGCACUUUAGUUCGGAAUAACUCAGGGAAACUUGAGCUAAUACCGGAUAAUCCCGCGAGGGGAAAGAUUUAUCGCUGAAGGAGUAGCCCGCGUCUGAUUAGCUAGUUGGUGAGGUAAUGGCUCACCAAGGCGACGAUCAGUAGCUGGUCUGAGAGGAUGAUCAGCCACACUGGGACUGAGACACGGCCCAGACUCCUACGGGAGGCAGCAGUGGGGAAUAUUGGACAAUGGGGCAACCCUGAUCCAGCCAUGCCGCGUGAGUGAUGAAGGCCUUAGGGUUGUAAAACUCUUUUGUCCGGGAAGAUAAUGACUGUACCGGAAGAAUAAGCCCCGGCUAACUUCGUGCCAGCCGCCGCCGUAACAC